rnacentral:rRNA from 1 species
AGUGAACGCUGGCGGUAGGCCUAACACAUGCAAGUCGAACGGCAGCACAGUAAGAGCUUGCUCUUACGGGUGGCGAGUGGCGGACGGGUGAGGAAUACAUCGGAAUCUACUUUUUCGUGGGGAUAACGUAGGGAGACUUACGCUAAUACCGCAUACGACCUACGGGUGAAAGCAGGGGAUCUUCGGACCUUGCGCGAUUGAAUGAGCCGAUGUCGGAUUAGCUAGUUGGCGGGGUAAAGGCCCACCAAGGCGACGAUCCGUAGCUGGUCUGAGAGGAUGAUCAGCCACACUGGAACUGAGACACGGUCCAGACUCCUACGGGAGGCAGCAGUGGGGAAUAUUGGACAAUGGGCGCAAGCCUGAUCCAGCCAUACCGCGUGGGUGAAGAAGGCCUUCGGGUUGUAAAGCCCUUUUGUUGGGAAAGAAAAGCAGCAGGUUAAUACCCCGCUGUUCUGACGGUACCCAAAGAAUAAACACCGGCUAACUUCGU